GACAUGCCUCCGGGAGAACAAGAAGGUGGAACGGCUCCGGACCACGGUGGGCAUGGACGGCACCCUCUACAAGAUACACCCUCAGUACCCAAAACGCCUGCACAAGGUGGUGAGGAAACUGGUCCCAAGCUGUGAUGUCCGCUUCCUCCUGUCAGAGAGUGGCAGCACCAAGGGGGCCGCCAUGGUGACUGCGGUGGCCUCCCGCGUGCAGGCCCAGCGGAAGCAGAUCGACAGGGUGCUGGCUUUGUUCCAGCUGACCCGAGAGCAGCUUGUGGACGUGCAGGCCAAGAUGCGGGCUGAGCUGGAGUAUGGUCUGAAGAAGAAGAGCCACGGGCUGGCCACGGUCAGGAUGCUGCCCACCUACGUCUGUGGGCUGCCAGACGGCACAGGUGGGCCAGCACAGCCUCCCUCUCUGAACAGCCAUCCAGGGCUCCCGUCAAAACUCCUUAAAGCCAGUGAGGUUCUUGGUUUUUAGAAACUUGGGUUCACGUCUCUAAUGGAGGGCAGGAGUAAGAAGAAGGCUAGUAUUCUUUCUAAAUCUGUUGGCCUUUGUUAACCCAAGGCAUUUGCAGUAAAAACAAAACAAACAAACAAAAACACAAAAAACCUACA
rnacentral:sRNA from 1 species